ensembl:lncRNA
CUGCAUUCCACCGUACAUUAGUGAUAUGCAUACAAGUUUGAUAUAGUGUUUCCCAUCACAAAGUGACAGAAUAAGCUUGAAUAGCGCAACAGGCGGGGAGGAUACAGCACAUUAAAAAAAAAAGUUAAGCGACGAACCAGAACGCAAAGGACUCCAACAAAUUUGAACGCGGCAGCAACCGGACUGCAAGCCCCAUGAUGCCCCGCAUGCUGUUUGCGGAAGAGGCGUGGGGUGGGCGGGCGAUGGACUCUUUCUGGACAGUUAUUCUAACGUGAAUCUCAGAUACGUGGCACUUUAUGGGAGUGUGACUCAAUUUUGUAUUUUCUUCUCAUGCAGCAGAGGAAAAUUUUGAAAAACCCAACUGCAGAACCAUAAGAAGCUAAAAGACAGAGCAGGUUCUGUUGUGCCUUCUCUUCUCCCUAUCCGCUUUGUCUUGAAAAGUCCUAUUGGCUGGCAUAUCUGUCCGGCGGUUUGUUAAUGUUAAUGAUUGGCUGAACGUUUAGAUUACCAAAAGGGAAAAAACUCGGUCCCGUCCGGCCCAGCAGAAACAUAAUAAAGACAAUGUAAAGGAAGGCAGCGGCCGCCGGCGACGGCGCCUAUUGGUGGGAUUAUUCUUUUGUUUGCCAGAAGGCGCGCGCGCUCUUUGGGUUUUUUUAAAACUAUCAUCGCGGCCAUGGAGUCAUUUGAAGCCGUUGUGCAGCGUAUCCAAGCGAGUUCUAAGAAAGAGCGCGUGAACGAAGACAGGUACAUUCCGUGCUUCUUGGUACCAGCAGCAGACGUCUGUGUCCGGUCUGAUAGCGCAUUCUGCGCCUGGAGCCCCUUGCUUGCCAGAAGACAAACCUGUAUAUUCCCUUUUUUGUGUCCUCUCAGCGGCCACCGUUCAGAAGAGGCCUUGGCAGGUGGAGCACCGUGGAUGGGAGAUCACCAGGAAAUCUUUGGAGGUGGGUGUAUUUGCUGCCUUGAGCAGCAAAACAUUUAUGGAUGUUUUUAUGAAGAGUUUACAGUCUUAAUCCACUGUUGGUAAACUANACCUUUGAUCAGCCUUUUUAGAAUGGCCAUGAUGUGUUUUUGACCCUGCAUAUAANAUACUG